UACGGAGGGUGCAAGCGUUAUCCGGAUUCACUGGGUUUAAAGGGUUCGUAGGUGGCCGGCUAAGUCAGACGUGAAAUCCCUCGGCUUAACCGGGGAACUGCGUCUGAUACUGGAUGGCUUGAGGUUGGGAGAGGGACGCGGAAUUCCAGGUGUAGCGGUGAAAUGCGUAGAUAUCUGGAGGAACACCGGUGGCGAAGGCGGCAUCCUGGACCAUGACUGACGCUGAGGAGCGAAAGCCAGGGAGCAAAGCGGG
rnacentral:rRNA from 1 species